GUCGAAAUGGCUAAGUGGUCAAGUCGUUCGUUUAUUAGUCAAAAAGUCUCUGGUUCGAGACCAGGUCUCGGCU
rnacentral:tRNA from 1 species